rnacentral:rRNA from 1 species
UGGGGAAUAUUGCACAAUGGGCGCAAGCCUGAUGCAGCCAUGCCUCGUGUGUGAAGAAGGCCUUCGGGUUGUAAAGUACUUUCAGUCGGGAGGAAGGUGGUAAGGUUAAUAACCUUAUCAAUUGACGUUACCGACAGAAGAAGCACCGGCUAACUCCGUGCCAGCAGCCGCGGUAAUACGGAGGGUGCAAGCGUUAAUCGGAAUUACUGGGCGUAAAGCGCACGCAGGCGGUUGAUUGAGUCAGAUGUGAAAUCCCCGGGCUUAACCCGGGAAUUGCAUCUGAUACUGGUCAGCUAGAGUAUUGUAGAGGGGGGUAGAAUUACAGGUGUAGCGGUGAAAUGCGUAGAGAUCUGGAGGAAUAACGGUGGCGAAGGCGGCCCCCUGGACGAAGACUGACGCUCAGGUGCGAAAGCGUGGGGAGCAAACAGG